rnacentral:rRNA from 1 species
UACAGAGGUCCCAAGCGUUGUUCGGAUUCAUUGGGCGUAAAGGGUGUGUAGGUGGCGCCGUAAGUCGGGUGUGAAAUUUCGGAGCUUAACUCCGAAACUGCAUUCGAUACUGCGGUGCUUGAGGACUGGAGAGGAGACUGGAAUUCAUGGUGUAGCAGUGAAAUGCGUAGAGAUCAUGAGGAAGACCAGUGGCGAAGGCGGGUCUCUGGACAGUUCCUGACACUGAGACACGAAGGCCAGGGGGAAG